rnacentral:rRNA from 1 species
UACGUAGGGGGCGAGCGUUGUCCGGAUUUAUUGGGCGUAAAGAGCUCGUAGGCGGUUUGGUAAGUUGGAUGUGAAAUCUCCAGGCUCAACUUGGAGGGGUCAUUCGAUACUGCCAUGACUAGAGUUCGGUAGGGGAGUGUGGAAUUCCUGGUGGAGCGGUGAAAUGCGCAGAUAUCAGGAGGAACACCCGUAGCGAAGGCGGCACUCUGGGCCGGAACUGACGCUGAGGUGCGAAAGCGUGGGGAGCAAACAGG